UCUCUGAGGAUAAAAUUCAGAAGGCAUUGAGUUUUUACAUGAAAAGGCUUGGUUGUGAACCUGCUUACUUGGCUUCUCAUCCUUCAAUUUUGGUCUUUAGUUUGGAAAAAAGGGUGGUACCUCGGGUGCAAGUCUUGAAAAUUUUGGAUGAAAAGAAGGUUGAGAGGAGAAAGUUGGGUUUCUAUUAUGCUCUGAGCAUAACAGAGACAAAGUUCAUGGAUUACUUUGUGCUACCCUACAAGGAUCAGAUACCUGAUUUGUAUGAACAGCUCAACAAAAUUGUGGCUCCUUAGUACAUUUUGUUUAUUUUUGGCACUACAUUGCAGUAUUGUUUUCAUUUCAAACUUGUUUUGCUUUCUAGUGACCUACUUGCAUGUUUUCCAGUGUUGCCAAAGAUCAUUUCUCUCUUUAUGUCUUGUUGCUUUCAGUACUUACACAUUAGGAUAACUCUAUAGCAUACCUUUUAAUUCUGAAAAAAUGAGAAGCCACAAAGACGGGAAGUCGUAUAUUAUCAGUCAUGUUCUUCUUCUGUGGAGUUUAAAGUUUAUGCCUCUGUUUAGAUCGGUGAGCUUCUUUUAGAGAAGAAGUGUGCAGUUUUCAGGAGUUAACUAGGAUACCAUGGUUCGAAAUGUGCCUUGUCGUUUAACUCUUAUCAGAGGUUACAAUCAAGAGGAAGGUAGAUUUUCUUCUGAAAGGAAUUGGGAUUAAAACCAGAGAUGUUGGUUUCUGCUUCCCUUUUCGGUUAGAAGAUUGGGUUCAAGAGAACAUUAUUGCUAUCAAGUUCUCCAGUUAAGUGAGUUGGUUUUGUUGAGCAGUUUGUGCUGCCUUACAAGGCUCAAAUUCCCGAUGUGUAUCUCACACAAGAAAAUAAUGAAAAAUUAGUAGUACUUUGAGGAACAUUUGUUUCAUUAGAUGCUGAAAUUGUAUCUCAGUCUUGCAGCCUGGAAAUUUUCUUGCAAGUUUUAUCAGUUUCAUUGCAGUUUGUCCAGACUUCCUAUGGCUAUAAUAGUUUACAUAAUUCCAGUUUACUCAACUCAACAUUGUUAUUUAACUGUCUGUUUAUUUGCACUUGAUGAAGAUGUUUAAUCUUUUAUCAUUGAGAUCUCAAUUAUUAAGUGCAUUUAUUUUUCAAGUCUCAGAUAUAUAAUAUACACAUGGAUACUAUCAUAGUUUGGCAAAAAUACUGUUAAGGGUCACAUGGUAGAGUGAUAAGUAUUUCAGUGCGCUUUGGUCUAUCUUAUAAAGACCAUCCUUUGUAUAACUUAUGAUCCAUUCAAGAAUUGAGUGUCCCCAAGUAAAAUCCUGUAGAAUACAAGGAAAAGAUAGAAUCUUGCUUGACAAAGAGUUUGGUAGAAAACGAAAGAGACAUUCUUUUUGAAACAAACUAAAAAAGAAAGUAAAAUUGAAACAAAAAUAGUAAAAUCCUCAUGAGGUACAAAAUAAUUUUUUUAUGUUGAACCCGUGUUCUUUUUAUCUAUACUACCUUAAACGCAUGAACUCCCAAACUUGAAUGUUGAAUUACUAUAAUACCCCCAAUUAAAAAUACUCAAUUUAUUAUAUUGAAAGUAGAUACCUUUUUCAAAUUAAAGGAUUAUGACUUUUUCAAUGAGUUGUGACUUUUCCAACGGGUUGUGACUUUUUUGAUAGGUUGUGACUUUUUCAAUGAGUUGUGACUUUUCCGAAGGGUUAUGAUUUUUUCUAUGGAUUGUGACUCUUCCAAAGGGUUGCGCCUUUUCUGAUGAGUUGUGCCUUUUUCAAAGGGUUGUGACUUUUUCGAAAGGUUGUGACUUUUCGGAUAAGACACAAUUAACACAUAUUCAUACUACUAUUUUGUAGCUAUAAAAAGAGGGGUUUCCUCACACUUUUAAACAACAAUUUCUUUAGGUCUCUACUCUUCUUCUUCUUAAAAAAUUUCAAGUAUUAUUUGCAAAAAUUGAUUAAAUUCGAAAUUCAACGAAAUUCGAGGUACCUCUUAAGAAAAAGUUGGUGAAAAAAUUGUAGCAAAUCAUUCAUCAAUUCACACUCGUAUUUUUUCUUACCAUUUUCAUGAGUUAACAAUGACAUAAAGUUGUGGGAGAGACAAAAAUGUUAAACAGAUACGAAAAAAGGCAUAUGAUUUGGGUAAGAUAUUUCUUCUUUGUUUUCUUAAUUUUUCUUCUUUUCCCUCAAACGAAGGAAUUGCUUCCUAAUUUUUCUAAAACAAUGGGUAACAACGUAGUCCAUUGAAUUAUUAGUUUUGAUGAUAAAUUCACUAUUUCAAAAAUAGAUUUUCACUUUUACUUAUAAUAUGAUAAUAUAUUCAUAAUAAUAAUUACUUUUAAUAGAUAUGUACGUAAAAAUGAACGGAGAAAGGAAAGUAUUGGUGGCAAGAGAUUUAAAUCAAAUGGAACACUAGAGUGAAUAUAGCAUGAACAUAUAUUUUCGUCUCUAUGUAUUGUUCCAUAUAAUUUUUCUUUAUGUCACAAGAUACACUCCUUACUAGAUAUGUAAAAAUAGAUAAGAAAAUAGUGAUUGAUCAUAAAAUGAUCUUAAAUCAAAUUAAUGAUUAUAUAAAUACUACUUUACAUUUUAUUCAUCUAUUAAUUUUUAUUAUUGAAAAAUUUAAAUAUUUUAUAUCAUGAUACAAUUUCUAUAAGAUACUAGAUACUUUCAUUAGACAACAACUAUAUGAUAUGUAUGUGGCAGAAGAAAAAAAAGAGACUACAAUUCCACAAAGAUAAGGUAGAAACUUAAUGAAAUGAAAUAUUUUGCACCAUAUGUGAUGUAAUUCCUAUAUUAAAAUUAAAUUAUUCUACUGAAGUAUAUAUAAUCAUCAUUCAUGAUAACAACCAAGAACUCAUUUUGGUAAAAUUACCUCUCUAUGAUAGCCUUACUCAAAUAGUAAUAGAGUAAUAAUAUUUUGUAAAAGAUAUGUUACAUAUAAAGAUAAAAUAUUGAAAUAUUUAUGGUAAUCCUUAUUAGUGUCAUGCGCAUACUAAAUUUCAAGUACGAAUAUUUAAGACAAAAUUUGUACUCAAACGGUGUACAUCAUUAACAAUCUUUGACUUAUGUACACAGUCAAUCGAAAAGUCAAAUAUGAAAGCCAACAAAAAGAACGUCAUCUAUUAUGUUAUAACAUAUAAAAUAAAAAUUACAAUAAAGUUCUAAAAAAUAAAAUGUAGUUGUUCUCCACAUGUUCAUAUGACAUCUAAACAGAUUAAGUGGAAUACACGUGCAAAGCACAUCUUGAUAGAUGACAAGAAAAAUACACAACAAAUAUCAUCUAUAAGGUAAUAUUAGUGAGAUACUAAUUAUAUGAUUGAACCUCAUCAAAUUGAAAUAAAUAUAUACAUUAUUGCAUUUAACUAAUUAAAUUUUUCAUUGACCAUCUUCAUAGGUUCGUGUGAAUAAGAGGUAUAUAUAAUGAUCCACAUUGAACAUUCACAAAAGAAUCUGUAAUAUUAUUUUGUGCAAAACAUAUUAUUCAAAUCUUCGCUUAAAUUUUCUGAAUUGAUAAUCACGUGCAACACACGUGUUGAAAAACUAGUAAUAUUUAAAAUGAUGGGUAUAAAUUUAUGAAUGGACUUUUCUAUUAUUUUAUUUUUUUAAAAAGCUAUCAUCUAAAAUCAAUUCAAACUAUGGAAUGUAAUUGCUAAAGACCCACAAAUUGGUGAUAGAGGUGUAGAUACUCAUUUGAGACCUACCAUUGAUUGCCUUAGGAGAAUUUUGGGUAGUGAUAGAAAAUAUAGUCAAGGCAUUAAAGAGAAGCUUUUGGUUGCCUAAUUUUGGUGCUCGAAACAUUAUGGAGAGUGGAGACAAAUCUAUUUUGGUUGCUUAAUUUCAGUGCACAAGCCCUAAUGUAAUCAUAGAUAUAUAUAGUCCACUUGCUUUCUAUUAUCAUGUACUCUCUCCGUUUACUUAUACUUAUCAGAAUCUCAAGAAAUCCUAAAAAAAAGCAAAAUAAUUUAGCAAGUUUAUCUGCUUCAUUGCAGUUGGUCCCAGCCUUCCUAUGACUAGUUUACUAAUGCAGUGUCCAUAGUCAUUUUACUCAACUCAAAUUGUUGUUCAACUGUCAGUCCCUUCUCUUGGGCCUUAUCUGAACCUAACUAAGAUUUUAAUCUUAAUCAUUGAGAUCUUAAUUAUCAAAUACGUUUAUUUUUUAAAUCUCAUGUAUACACAUAUGGAUAUUAUCUUAGUUUGGCAAAAAUACUGAUAAAAGUUAUGGUAAAGUGAUAUAUAUUUCAGCGCGCUUUGAUCAUUCUUGCAGAAAUCGUCGUUGUAUAAGUUAUGAUCCAUCCACGAAAUGAACUUUCUCAAAGUAAAAUCCUAUGGACUACAAAAAAAAGGUAGAAUCUCAUUUGGCAAAGAGUUGAUAAAAGUCGAAUAAAUAUUCUUUUUAAAACAUACUAAAAAGAAACAUAUUGGGGAAUGAGUGUUAAUCCAAUAUGCCCUUUGUGUGAAUCAGAGAAUGAGUCGAUCUAACACCUUUUUUUUUCAGUGCUCUUUUUCAACAUCAAUGUGGAACAAGCUACUACAAUGGCUAUGUCACGACCCGAUUUCUCAAGUCAUGAUGACACCUACUAUAACCCACCAGUAGGUAAGCCAAUUCGUAACCCGAAACAACAAGUAAUGGGUCUGAGGGUAGAAACUAAACAAGAGUAGGCAAAUAACAAUAUAAACAGGCGGAAGCAAACCAAAAACAUUUAUACAAAUAAAGAUCCCUCCCAAAACCUGGAAGUCACUAGUAUAGAGCUACUAACAAAAUGAGUACAAGUCCCAAAAGUGGACAACAAAGACUGGACUGUCUCGAAAGGUAAAAGACAAGUCUAUAUAUACAGAUGGAGACUGAAAUAGUACAAAACGCCGUGUGCUCACCCCCGUCUCCGGAUCAGACUGCUCCAAGCUCGAUCAACGCUGGCUACUAGUGCCCGGACCUGCUUCACGAAAUAGAUGCAGAGCGUAGCAUGAGUACCAAAACAACAGGUACCCAGUAGGCAUCAUAGGCCGACUGAACUUGAAAAGUAAAGGCAAUAUGAAAAGAAGGAAUAACACAAACCGAAGUCAAGAACUAAAAUCUAACUAACAAGGGAAUGCACACGAGUGUACAAAGAACUAACUAAAGUAAUCUANNNNNNNNNNNNNNNNNNNNNNNNNNNNNNNNNNCCCCCGGCGCCACCGGCUGUGGAGGUACAUAUGCUGCCUGAGGCUCCUCCUCCUUAUCUGGGGCUGGUGCUACGGCCCUGCCUCGACCUCGGGGUCGACGCCUACCCCAAACUUAGGCUCUGCCUGCAAGCCCGGGUACGCCACCCCUGGCCGCGCCACCUCGCGAGCGAGCCAUCCUGCGAAAGAGUGAAAUAAGUGAGAUUUCCAGAAACCAAUAAGACACACGAUGCACGAAAGGGAAACAAAAGAGGAAAUUUUCCUAAGGACAUCCUGUAGCCUCCCGAAGAUAAGUUACGGACGUCUCCGCACCGAUCCGCAGGACUCUACUAGACGUUAGCUCUGUACAAGUGAGACCGAUAAACCUGGGGCUCUGAUACCAACUUGUCACGACCCGAUUUCUCAAGUCAUGAUGGCACCUACUAUAACCCACCAGUAGGUAAGCCAACCCGUAACCCGGAACAACACGUAAUGGGUCUGAGGGUAGAAACUAAACAAGAGUAGGCAAAUAACAAUAUACACAGGCGGAAGCAAACCAAAACAUAAAUACAAAUAAAGAUCCCUCCCAGAACCUGGAAGUCACUAGUACAGAGCUACUAACAAAAUGAGUACAAGUCCCAAAAGUGGACAACAGAGACUGGACUGUCUCGAAAGGUAAAAGACAAGUUUAUAUAUACAGAUGGAGACUGAAAUAGUACAAAACGUCGUGUGCUCACUCCCGUCUCCGGAUCAGUCUGCUCCAAGCUCGAUCAACGCUGGCUACUAGUGCCCGGACCUGCAUCACGAAAUAGAUGCAGAGCGUAGCAUGAGUACCAAAACAACCGGUACCCAGUAGGCAUCAUAGGCCGACUGAACUUGAAAAGUAAAGGCAAUAUGAAAAGAAGGAAUACGCAAAUUGAGGUCAAGAACAAAAAUCUAACUAACAAAGAAAUGUUAACGAGUGUACAAAGAACUAACUAAAGUAAUCUAUAAGCUAACUACACCUAACUGGGCCCCCAUAAGCCCAGAAGGUACACUUGUGCGCAAGUUAAAUAAAAACCCGAACGGACCCCCAUAAGCCCGACGAGUACACAAAAUAACUAUAACUAAAGAGAAUUGCAUAUACGAACCCAAGAACGAAGAACAUCGAACCAGAACCUCAACCCUAAUUAGUAGAAUCUCACAGUACGGAGGCCGGACCUCGAAUCGAAUGCUCACAAGAAAUACCCAAGUAACCAAUCACAAGUAACAAGUAUAAGAGGCCGGAACUCUAACCGGAUGCUCUAUAUAAGUAUUUGGGCAAUAGAGGCCGGAACUCUAACCGGAUGCUCUAUAAAGGUGCCACUGUAGCUGCUGAAAGAGUCCCAAUCGAUCUAUUCUCAUAAAUGUCCGUGGAUCCGUCCACACCUAGCCGAUCAAUGAAAGUCCGUGGAACCGAAUCGAAAAUCAAAUUCAAAUCGCAAAGCAGAACUAGUGUCGCCGACGUAACUCUUGAAGAUGUAACAUCGGGGAAAUAAUGAUAACUAUCAUCGGAGCAAACAUAUCGCCUAGCUAAGGCCCAAACUAUCAGGCUCAAGUCUGCUACACCAGUCUACAGGGAUCUAAGCCGGCCGAGCGGCGUCGGGGCAAAACUAAGGCCUAACGAAUCUGAAUCAUGUAUUUCUAAGGCAAGCCCUAGUCAAACCUAAACUAAGGCCCAAAUGCUUCAACAAAUAGUCAUCGAGCAUACAAGUACUCCACAAAGUAAAGAGGGACAAUUAAUAACACAAAGCAUGCUCACAGUUACCCGAUAAUUCCCGAAAUAGGCCGAAAACAUGAUUUCUAAACACCUAUGCAUGAUUCAAUCACUACCAACCCAAAUCCCAACUAAUCAACAUGCAUUCACACUCUCAAGCUCAAUCUAAGAGAGGAAACCAUAGCCUACUUGUAAGCCGAUCACACGCGUUCAAAAAUCACUUCUCCGGAGCUUUCUCUUUCCGGACGUCCUCGAAACACUGCCCCGCUAUCAAAAAUAGAGUCACAACGUUAUUACGGUCGUUUAGACACCAAAAUCACAAUAAACGAAGACAGACCAAUUUCGGGGUCAAAACGGGGAAAGUGGGACCCGAGCAGGAAAUUCCGGAAUUAACUCCAAAAGUGGGUCCUAACCAGUUCCCCUAGAUCAUGUCCCAAAAUGGGACACAAUUCGGGGCUCGGGAACAACACAAUAUCAACAUGCAACUAAAACCCAAAUUUUCUCAAAAACUAGAAAUGGGACAGCAGUUGAAUCAGUGUAUUUACCAGAAACUGGAGGUCUACAGUGAAAUGCCGACAACACCACGACGUUCUCCUCGAAAAAACCGCUCAAGAUAGCCUCAAAAAAUCACUGAAAAUCAGACCUAGAAUGGCUGAGAAAACAAGUCUCAAAAUCUUCCAAAAUCAAGCUCACAAAAGGGUCAUGGCAACAGGUGUUUUACGAAAAUUACCUCAAACGGGGACUCCAAAUCACUAUCCGAGAUCACCAACGCGUUGUCCUCGAAAAAUCUCACAAAAUUGCCUUUUGAAUCGCCCAAAUCGGUUGAGAUGAGAGAGUUAUGAGGGUUUGAAGUUUGGAAAUAUGUUGCUGUUUUUCUGCAUUUAUUGCAGAAAAUCUGCAAUAAUUUCCAAAACUUAAAACUCCGAUGGAGUGCUCCAAUCUCGUUCGAAACCCCGUGCAUGCAAACGAGACAUGCAACCAUACCAAAUUCGACAUUUCAGACUCAACGGCUCAGUCGAAAUUUCCAUCAGAGGUCAUCUCGAUAAAAAGUGGGUCCCACUUCCAAAAGUCAUUUUAAAUCAAAACCCACAAAAGAGCUCGGAAAGAUAUCGAAAACCUCCAGACACAAAAGAAGGGUCAAUUUAGACCAAACUCGACAUUCCGGAGCUAACCACGCUGACGGAAUUCUCAUCCGAGCGCGUUUACUCAGAAUGUUGACCAAAGUCAAACUUAGGCUUAAACUUAAAGUUAAAACGCCUAAUCGCACCAACUCACACUGAAAACCUUGGGAGUCAUGUCGACCAUGCUACUAGCCUAAAAUGACCCUUCCGGAGCUGAUGGAAUCGUCAGAAUUGGGUUCCGAUGUCAUCUUCUUGAACUUUUGAUCGAAAAUGAUCGUUUAAGGUUCAUAAGCUCCAAAACACAAAAACUCGCACCAAGACCAAACGAAUAACUUACAUUGACAGUGAAUCAUCAUAAUGGGAAUAGUGAUGCAACAACAAUUUAUAGAAUGGCCUUAACAGGCUACAUCUAUUAUAUGUGGCAAGAGAGGAACCAAAUUGUUUUUCAAGGCAAAAGAAGAGAAAUAUCGGACCUUGUGAAGAGAAUAAUUCAAGACAUAUAUUUCAGAGGUUGUCUCAAAAUGAAAUUAACUAAAUAUUUGACGAUGUUGAACUACUAUCCAAGCUAAAGUAGUCGAUAGAUGGUUAGGAGAUGAAAGGUUAUUAGUUGGGUUCGAUCUAAUCAGAAUAGUUCUUUUUUUAAUUGUAAACUUCUCUUUGGUAAUAAAAUGCUAUAUUAAAACGAAAACAGUAAAAUAUUUUCGUAUAGUAGGAACUAGGAACAAUAUGUUCUCAAUUUAUGAAUUAAGUUGUAUAUUUAAAAAAUUCCUUUAUAAAAAUAAAAAAAUCCUUAUCAAAAGUUGUAUAUUUAAAAAAUUAAAAUUAUGAUUGAAAAUCAAAUAAUUUUUUUCCGAGAAUUGGGAUAAUUCAAAAUUAUGAUCCCGAAUAUGCAAACACUAAUUUGAAAUGGUGAAUUCUAAACGCAAGCUAAAAUUUGAUCAAUUUUGAAAAUAUUCAGUGAAUUCCUUGCAAUCCAUCAAGCACAGGAAGAGGGACUAUAAACCCUAAUCCCCAUUAGUGCAGAGAAGUUUAGUAAGGGAAAUGCACAUCAGAUUCAGAGGCAAAGCUGUAGUUGUAUCAACUCAGUGUUCCAUAUAUCAUUGCAAUGGCUAUAGAGACUUCCGUUUCAGAUCUCAAUAUCUCUACUCAUCAACCUCUACACCUGCCCCGACCCAUUUCUUGGUGAAAUACCUUGUUGAUUCUCUCGGAUUCUCCGAUGAAGAAGCUGCCUCUACAUCCUCCAAGGUAACUUCAUUGAAAACCUUUAAGAAUCCUGAUUUAGUCAUCAAUUUCUUGAAACAAAUCGGUUUGGACAAUACCCAGAUGAAAAAAAUGGUUUCUUUAGCACCCAAAAUGCUAUUAUCAGAUGUUUCCAAAACCCUAAAACCCAAAUUCCAGUGCCUUAUGGAUAUCGGGUUAUCCGGGUCGGACCUGGUGAAUGUAAUUGCUAGAGAUUCAAAAAUUGUUGAAAGAGGUUUAGAUACUCAUUUGAGACCUACCAUUGAUCGUCUUAGGAGAACUUUGGGUAGUGAUGAAAAUGUAGUGAAGGCGUUAAAGAGAGCUCCUUGGUUGCUUACUUUUGGUGCUCAUAAUAUUAUGGAGACUAAUCUAUUGUUGUUGAAAAAUUGUGGUGUUCCUGAUGAGGGAAUAAAAACACUCGUGCUUAGAAAUCCUAGGUAUUUUGCACAAAAUCCUGAGUGGAUUAAGGGUUUGUUGCAUAGGGUGGAGAAUGAUUUUCGAGUUCCGCUUGACUCUCCUAUGUUUCCUUAUGGAUUUCAUACAUUAGCCUCACAAAAGCAGUGUACCGUGGAUAGGAAGAUUGGAAUUUUCAAGAGUUUUGGAUGGUCUGAUAAUGAGAUAUUUGAGAUGUUUAGGAAGUUUCCUUAUUGUAUUGCUCAGUCAGAGGUCAAAAUUCAGAAAGCAUUGAAUCUUUACAUUAAUGAGCUUGGUUCUGAACCUGCUUACUUGGCUUCUCAGCCUUCAGUUUUGAUCUAUAGUCUGGAAAAAAGGGUGCUACCUCGGAUGCAAGUCUUGAAAAUUUUAGAUGAAAAUAAGCUUGAGAGGAGAAAGUUGGCUCUUUAUACUGUUGUGAGCUUAUCAGAGACAAAGUUCAUUGAUUAUUUUGUGCUGCCCUACAAGGAUCAGAUACCUGAUUUGUAUGAAUCACAUAAGAAAACUGUGGCUCCCUAGCCGUUUUAGUUUAACCUUUUUAAAAUCAUAUUCUGUAGUCCAAUAUAUUUUUGCGUUUAUUUUUUUCAGUUUGUAUUCUGAAAAUUACAGUCAGUGUCAUUUCUGUCAUUAUAAAGGAAAAAUAUCAUUGGAGGUUUGAGAAAUAGUCAAGUAUUUAUUUGCUUCCCAUUUGGAUAUUCUUCUAUCCUGUUCUGAUUUGAUUCUGGAACAUUUUACGAGUUGUUUGCUAUUCAAUCCAUUUUAUUGCCGCCUGAGCUUUUGUAUUUAUCUGGUCCUUAAUUUGAAGUUGAAGAGUCUCUUUCAUUUCAUACUUUUUCACUCGAAAUAAUUUGGUACUCCAUCUAUUCUACAAUUACUCUGUGAUGUAAACGAAAUUCCGAUGAUUUGGUGCUUUGUGAAAGAUAUGCCCACUGGGAAUGGAGCUUGUAGGAUGUAGAAUUUGUCCUAUAAACUCUUCGAAAAUUAGUCGGUCAUUCAUGUUUGGUGACACAGAAUACACUCUCCCAGGUUUUUAAUUAACAUAAUGCUCAAUCUACAUUUGUCUAAAGAAAACAUAGUUUCUGCCCUUUUGGUGAUUGUAAAGCAUUAUUUUUUCCUAUCCAGGUUCCAAGUAGACAGUGUCUGGAGAUGAAUUAGCUUCUCAUUUCCAUUUGGAUUCCCUUUUAUCAACAUCUUUACUUUUAUAAAAGCGUCAAAUUGCAACACCAAAUGUCGAUAGACUUUUUUGCCCUCUGAAUGUGCACUUGAUAUUUGCCAUAUUUAUCUAAUGCUUAGUAUCAAUUGUAUUCUAUUUUUACUGUCCUUGAGCUGUAAAAUCCAAUUGGCCUUAACUUGUGAUUUUUUAUGGGUGAUGUAACAAGCCAGGAUGGUGUUGGACCGAAUCUGAACAAUUAGAAGAAACCAUGAACUCUUGCAGUGUGGAGUACCGCGAGGGCUGUGCAACCUGAAGGACUUGGAGAUGAACCAUUCUAGUUUAGUGAGCCUCAACCACAAGGCAACCGUGGGGAAAUCUGGAGAAAAACAACCCAACUCCCACGGCUGGAGCACCUCAAAACACAUGAACUCUGAAGCUCUGAUUAAGGAGGCAGUUCAAUUAGCUUCCACCACAACACCAUAUGAACCUCCUGUUGCCCUCUUACACAAAAGCCUGAAAGGAUUAAGGAUUUGUUGCAUAGAGUGGAGAAUGAUUUUUGAGUUCCGCAUUAUUCCCCUAUAUUUCAGUAUGGAUUUCGAAUGGUAUCCUCCCAAAAGAAGUCUAUGUUGGAUAGAAAGAUUGGAAUUUUCAGGAGUUUUGGAUGGUCUAAUGAUGAUAUACUCCCCAUGUUCCGGAAGCUACCUUAUUGUCUUGCCCUCUCGGAAGUUAGAAUAGAGAAAGCACUGAAUCUUUUCAUGAAGGAGCUUGGUGUUAAAUCUGCUUACUUGGUUUCUUACCCCUACACUUGUGAUGCAUAGUUUGGAAAAAAGAGUGGUACCUCGGAUGCAAGUCUUGAAAAUUUUGGACGAAAAGAAGCUUAAGAGGAGAGAGUUGAUGCUCUAUACUGUUGUCAGGUUAACAGAGUCAAAGUUCAUGGAGUAUUUUGUGCUGCCCUACAAGGAUAAGAUACCUGAUCUGUAUGAACCACUCAAGAAAAUUAUGCUCCUUUGGUAGAUUUUUUGGCCUUUUUAUUUUCAUAUUGAAUUCUGAAAAACAGGAUGGGUGUUGCCAAAAAUCAUUUAUGGAGUUGGGGCAUUGUUUAUUGAAAGACCUCCCUCAUAUUUACAAGUCUGAAUUCUUGUGAGCUAUAUGGCAAAUCAAGGUUUGGAUUCAACUGAUCUUGUUGAUAACUGAUUCCUUUGGCAGUUACAAAAAGGAAUAAUGUUUUUCCUGAUUUCUAAUCUCCAUUACGAAGAGACAUACCUCGAAUCAAUCAGGUUAUGAUUCUCCUAACUCAAAUUAAACUUGAUCGAAUUCUCACGAGGUAGAAGAAUUUCUCGAAGAGGAAUCAUACAUCCUCCUCUCAUCCAUCAGAGAGAAAACAGACCCAACAACAUAUCCAGUAUGAUCUCACGUGUACGGUCUGGGAAAGGUGGGCUAUAGUAGGUGUUGUGCCUUUUU
rnacentral:lncRNA from 1 species